rnacentral:rRNA from 1 species
CCCUUAGAUGUCCUGGGCUGCACGCGCGCUACACUGGAAGUUACGGAUUGAGAUACUACCUUGUCCGAAAUGGUCCGGGUAAUCACCUAAAAGCUUGUCAUAAUUGGAAUGGAUUAUUGUAACUAGUAAUCCUGAACGAGGAAUUCCUAGUAAGUCCCAGUCAACAGCUGGUACUGAUUACGUCCCUGCCCUUUGUACACACCGCCCGUCGCUACUACUGAUUGGACGUUUAAGCAAGAUUUUUAAACACUGACAGUGUGUAGUUCACGCUAUACUACAGUGAGACGAAGAAGAUCGAGCUUACUUGUCUAGAGGAAGUAAAAGUCGUAACA